rnacentral:rRNA from 1 species
UACGGAGGAUGCAAGCGUUAUCCGGAUUCAUUGGGUUUAAAGGGUGCGUAGGCGGUCUAUUAAGUCAGUGGUGAAAUCCUGCAGCUUAACUGCAGAACUGCCGUUGAUACUGAUAGUCUUGAGUUUGGUUAAGGUAGGCGGAAUGUGUAAUGUAGCGGUGAAAUGCUUAGAUAUGACGCAGAACUCCGAUUGCGAAGGCAGCUUACUGGGAUGCAACUGACGCUGAGGCACGAAAGCGUGGGUAUCAAACA